rnacentral:rRNA from 1 species
CGAGUGGCGGACGGGUGAGUAAUGCUUGGGAACUUGCCUUUGCGAGGGGGAUAACAGUUGGAAACGACUGCUAAUACCGCAUAAUGUCUUCGGACCAAACGGGGCUUCGGCUCCGGCGCAAAGAGAGGCCCAAGUGAGAUUAGCUAGUUGGUAAGGUAACGGCUUACCAAGGCGACGAUCUCUAGCUGUUCUGAGAGGAAGAUCAGCCACACUGGGACUGAGACACGGCCCAGACUCCUACGGGAGGCAGCAGUGGGGAAUAUUGCACAAUGGGGGAAACCCUGAUGCAGCCAUGCCGCGUGUGUGAAGAAGGCCUUCGGGUUGUAAAGCACUUUCAGUUGUGAGGAAAAGUUAGUAGUUAAUACCUGCUAGCCGUGACGUUAACAACAGAAGAAGCACCGGCUAACUCCGUGCCAGCAGCCGCGGUAAUACGGAGGGUGCGAGCGUUAAUCGGAAUUACUGGGCGUAAAGCGCACGCAGGCGGUUUGUUAAGCUAGAUGUGAAAGCCCCGGGCUCAACCUGGGAUGGUCAUUUAGAACUGGCAGACUAGAGUCUUGGAGAGGGGAGUGGAAUUCCAGGUGUAGCGGUGAAAUGCGUAGAUAUCUGGAGGAACAUCAGUGGCGAAGGCGAC